UGGUGCAGUAGGUCAGAGGCCUCACUGAAGCUGUGCAGGCCAUGCAACAGCAGCUGCAGCCGCAGGCAUCGGUGCGAUCGGAAAGAGCAUCGCCAGAACUCCAAAAUUCGACGGUGGGACGGGCCACUUGGGCCAGCCGCCCUGUCUUUCCCGAAAAGAUGAAUCCAAGGGUGGAGAGCCCUCAAUCGGACCACGAUUCCACCCC
rnacentral:lncRNA from 1 species